rnacentral:rRNA from 1 species
GACGAACGCUGGCGGCGUGCCUAAUACAUGCAAGUAGGACGCAGUUGCGACCGGGUGAGUAACGCGUAGGUAACUGCCUAUUAGAGGGGGAUAACUAUUGGAAACGAUAGCUAAUACCGCAUACUAGUAGAUGGACCUGCGUUGUAUUAGCUAGUAGGUAGGGUACUGGCCUACCUAGGCGACGAUACAUAGCCGACCUGAGAGGGGGAUCGGCCAAGAUUGGACUGAGACACGGCCCAGACUCCUACGGGAGGCAGCAGGUGGGAAUCUUCGGAAAUGGGGUGAACCCUGACCGAGCAACGCCGCGGGAGUGAAGAAGGUUUUCGGAUCGUAAAGCUCUGUUGGUAAGGAAGCGGUACUUAACCAGAAAGGGACGGCUAACUACGUGCCAGCAGCCGCGGUAAUAC